CUUAUCCUCAUUAUAAAGUAAAUGAGUACUUAUAUCAGAAAGGCAAGCCAAAGCUGCAUAUAUGUACUCAUUUACUUUAUAAUGAGGAUAAGGAGAAAGAUGACCACUGCCAGUACAAAAAUUCCCAGUAGCCACCAACACCAUGAGGAUCUGGAUUUCACACUUUUUGAAGCCCUUGCUAGCUGAACUUUUGCUUGGGUUGUUGCAGCAGCAGAA
rnacentral:misc_RNA from 1 species